UACGUAGGGGGCAAGCGUUGUCCGGAUUUAUUGGGCGUAAAGAGCGUGUAGGCGGCCAGGGAGGUCCGUUGUGAAAACUCGAGGCUCAACCUCGAGACGCCGAUGGAAACCCCCUGGCUAGAGUCCGGAAGAGGAGAGUGGAAUUCCUGGUGUAGCGGUGAAAUGCGCAGAUAUCAGGAAGAACACCCGUGGCUAAGGCGGCUCUCUAGUACGGUACUGACGCUGAGACGCGAAAGCGUGGGGGGCGAACAGG
rnacentral:rRNA from 1 species